rnacentral:ncRNA from 1 species
GUCGUGAGAUGUUGGGUUAAGUCCCGCAACGAGCGCAACCCUUGUCCCGUGUUGCCAGCAGGCCCUUGUGGUGCUGGGGACUCACGGGAGACCGCCGGGGUCAACUCGGAGGAAGGUGGGGACGACGUCAAGUCAUCAUGCCCCUUAUGUCUUGGGCUGCACACGUGCUACAAUGGCCGGUACAAUGAGCUGCGAUACCGCGAGGUGGAGCGU